rnacentral:rRNA from 1 species
AGAGUUUGAUCAUGGCUCAGAUUGAACGCUGGCGGCAGGCCUAACACAUGCAAGUCGAACGGUAACAGGAAGCAGCUUGCUGCUUUGCUGACGAGUGGCGGACGGGUGAGUAAUGUCUGGGAAACUGCCUGAUGGAGGGGGAUAACUACUGGAAACGGUGGCUAAUACCGCAUAACGUCGCAAGACCAAAGAGGGGGACCUUCGGGCCUCUUGCCAUCAGAUGUGCCCAGAUGGGAUUAGCUAGUUGGUGAGGUAACGGCUCACCAAGGCGACGAUCCCUAGCUGGUCUGAGAGGAUGACCAGCCACACUGGAACUGAGACACGGUCCAGACUCCUACGGGAGGCAGCAGUGGGGAAUAUUGCACAAUGGGCGCAAGCCUGAUGCAGCCAUGCCGCGUGUAUGAAGAAGGCCUUCGGGUUGUAAAGUACUUUCAGCGGGGAGGAAGGUGUUGUGGUUAAUAACCGCAGCAAUUGACGUUACCCGCAGAAGAAGCACCGGCUAACUCCGUGCCAGCAGCCGCGGUAAUACGGAGGGUGCAAGCGUUAAUCGGAAUUACUGGGCGUAAAGCGCACGCAGGCGGUCUGUCAAGUCGGAUGUGAAAUCCCCGGGCUCAACCUGGGAACUGCAUUCGAAACUGGCAGGCUUGAGUCUUGUAGAGGGGGGUAGAAUUCCAGGUGUAGCGGUGAAAUGCGUAGAGAUCUGGAGGAAUACCGGUGGCGAAGGCGGCUCCCUGGACAAAGACUGACGCUCAGGUGCGAAAGCGUGGGGAGCAAACAGGAUUAGAUACCCUGGUAGUCCACGCCGUAAACGAUGUCUACUUGGAGGUUGUGCCCUUGAGGCGUGGCUUCCGGAGCUAACGCGUUAAGUAGACCGCCUGGGGAGUACGGCCGCAAGGUUAAAACUCAAAUGAAUUGACGGGGGCCCGCACAAGCGGUGGAGCAUGUGGUUUAAUUCGAUGCAACGCGAAGAACCUUACCUGGUCUUGACAUCCACGGAAGUUUUCAGAGAUGAGAAUGUGCCUUCGGGAACCGUGAGACAGGUGCUGCAUGGCUGUCGUCAGCUCGUGUUGUGAAAUGUUGGGUUAAGUCCCGCAACGAGCGCAACCCUUAUCCUUUGUUGCCAGCGAUUAGGUCGGGAACUCAAAGGAGACUGCCAGUGAUAAACUGGAGGAAGGUGGGGAUGACGUCAAGUCAUCAUGGCCCUUACGACCAGGGCUACACACGUGCUACAAUGGCGCAUACAAAGAGAAGCGACCUCGCGAGAGCAAGCGGACCUCAUAAAGUGCGUCGUAGUCCGGAUUGGAGUCUGCAACUCGACUCCAUGAAGUCGGAAUCGCUAGUAAUCGUGGAUCAGAAUGCCACGGUGAAUACGUUCCCGGGCCUUGUACACACCGCCCGUCACACCAUGGGAGUGGGUUGCAAAAGAAGUAGGUAGCUUAACCUUCGGGAGGGCGCUUACCACUUUGUGAUUCAUGACUGGGGUGAAGUCGUAACAAGGUAACCGUAGGGGAACCUGCGGUUGGAUCACCU